UUGAUCUAAUUUGAUUAGAUCAUAUCCUAAUAUGGGUUAACCAAGAGUUGGCACCUAAUUGGCUUGGUUUGAGUCUAAUUGGAUUAGAUUUGAUAAAUCAUUCAAUCUAGACCGUUAGAUCUUGAUCUACCGUUGGAUGAAGACAUAAUGGUGAAUUGGUUUAACCCAAUUGGAUUGGGUUAGUGGAAGGCUAUCAUAAUUGACCAUUGGAUCUUAAUCCCACCAUUGGAUGAAGACAUAAUGGGUCAAGGGGAUGGCGCCAUGAAGGAGGACCAUUGGAUCAUCCUAGAACCAUUGGAUGAUCACUUAAUUCCUUCCCUUGAUGGCGCCAUGAUUAUUAGCCCUUGGAUCAUAUGGAGAUGCAACAAAAGGUGGAGAAUGAUGGCGUGAUGGGCUGAGGCAUGAUGAAGGAGGUGUGAUAAGCAUUUCAGAAUUUUUACGUGAAGGGAAAAGCGUAAAAGAGAUGUGGCGCCCCUUGGAAAGUUUGGAUAAGGAUGAAUCAUCCUUAUCCACUUAUCAUGAUACGCCUCCCUACUUUGAUGGUGCCCCAUUCAUGAUACAGUUGUUCAUAUGGGAUGCCUCCCUUGGUUCUCACACACCCCUUGAUGCAUGAAAGGAUGCCAUCCUUUCACAUCUAUAUAUAGGGAACCAUUCCACCGUAUUCUUCAUUCCAACUCCACUGUAUUCUCUCUCCCUUAUCCCUUCUUUCUUACAAGGCUUUGUCUCUUUCUGGCAUUGCUUCUAGGAUGUCUUAAUCCAAGACAAGGUGGUCUUCUUUAGGACAAAAGGAUUAGAAGUGAUUUUAGAAAGAAAAAGAAAAAUAGAAAGGAAGAAAAGCAAGCCAUUAGAGUUCUUUAGAAGAAUUCUGCAUUAAGGAUGUCUUUGGAGCUAAAGUCUUGAACCAAGUUUUCGUGUGGAUCACCAUUGGAGGGCGGACACUUGGACACCUCGUGGAGAUCAUUCAUAUUGAAUUAGCAUUAGAGGUAUUCUUCUAUUCCUACAUUUAUAUUUAUAUAUUAUUUGAUUGUUACCAUUAAGGUGAUCUAGGCUUAUAAGGAUUUUAUGUUAAGGGACUUUAUUAAGAAAUUUUUAAAAUUCCUAGCUUCCGCUACCCAUUAUGACAUGUUAAAACCCUUCAAACCCUGUCCUAUGUCUAGUCCCCAAGUCUCACUUGGGAGUUCACUAUAAUUUCUCAUAUUACAACCAGUUGUUUUACAAGCUCACAACCAAACUUGUUGUUUUUACGAGAU
rnacentral:lncRNA from 1 species